UGCAAGUCGAGGGGCAGCAGGUUUGUAGCAAUACAGAUGCUGGCGACCGGCAAACGGGUGCGGAACACGUACAGAACCUUCCUUUAAGUGGGGGAUAGCCCAGGGAAACUUGGAUUAAUACCCCGUAAUAUAUAGGAGUGGCAUCACUUUUAUAUUAUAGCUCAGGCGCUUGAAGAUGGCUGUGCGGCUGAUUAGGUAGUUGGCGGGGUAACGGCCCACCAAGCCUGCGAUCAGUAACUGGUGUGAGAGCACGACCAGUCACACGGGCACUGAGACACGGGCCCGACUCCUACGGGAGGCAGCAGUAAGGAAUAUUGGGCAAUGGACGCAAGUCUGACCCAGCUAUGCCGCGUGGAGGAUGAAGGUCCUCUGGAUUGUAAACUUCUUUUAUCUGGGAAGAAACCUAUUUUUUCUAAAAUAGCUGACGGUACCAGGUGAAUAAGCACCGGCUAACUCCGUGCCAGCAGCCGCGGUAAUACGGAGGGUGCAAGCGUUAUCCGGAUUCACUGGGUUUAAAGGGUGCGUAGGUGGGUUGGUAAGUCAGUGGUGAAAUCUCCGAGCUUAACUUGGAAACUGCCAUUGAUACUAUCAGUCUUGAAUACUGUGGAGGUUAGCGGAAUAUGUCAUGUAGCGGUGAAAUGCUUAGAUAUGACAUAGAACACCAAUUGCGAAGGCAGCUGGCUACACAAUUAUUGACACUGAGGCUCGAAAGCGUGGGGAUCAAACAGGAUUAGAUACCCUGGUAGUCCACGCCCUAAACUAUGGAUACUCGACAUAUGCGAUACACUGUAUGUGUCUGAGCGAAAGCAUUAAGUAUCCCACCUGGGAAGUACGAUCGCAAGAUUGAAACUCAAAGGAAUUGGCGGGGGUCCGCACAAGCGGUGGAGCAUGUGGGUUUAAUUCGAUGAUACGCGAGGAACCUUACCUGGGCUAGA
rnacentral:rRNA from 1 species